UAAAGGUUGGUGUAAAAUCCGGGUUAAAUUGGAGAAUCACGCCAUCUGGUGUUACAAAUGCGUGCCUGCAUUACUGUAGCUUUGUUACCGCAAUGGAUUGUGGGAGAUUCUCAUACCGCGUGAGGAUCUUUUGAGAGUAAGGUUCUAUUGUAUUAUGUCGGUGGACAAAAUGUAUAUUAUUAUUUUAUUAGGACAAUAACGUUCUGUUGUGUUGUUUUGUUUAAUGUUAGUCGUUUAAUGCUCACAGCAACAUGUUUUUUGUGUGAUUGGCUAUUUGUUUUAUAUGAUUUAUUAAUGUGAUCACCAAUAGCUAAUCUGAGCUAAUAAGCUAACGUGAGCGUGGUGCUAUCUCUCCUACAGAACGUGUCCUUUUUAUGUGUCCAUUCAAACGCAGGUAUAAACAAACGCAGUGAAAUAAACCAAAGUAUUCACCAGCUCUGAGUGGUCUGUUGCCGAGGGGACACUACACCGGGGGUUACA